UGUUUGCUGCGUGUGGCCUGGCGGAGACACACGACAGGCAGUGUGUGUGUGUGUGUGUGUGUGUGUGUGUGUGUGUCAUCUCCGUGCAGGGUCGGGCGGCAGACUCACCGCCACACACCCACAGCCUCCUGCCAGACACUCACCACCAUGACAGCCUGAACAAGGCCUAGCGGGGCAUGCCUAAGCCUAGGUGAAGCUGAUCCCACGAGGGGAAGGAUGACGGAAGACACGCCCCAGAGGAAGACGUCAGCCAGGAAUCCCCGCAGGGUCAGCCUCCUGCCAGGGGCGUGGCAGCGGCAGCAACCGAUGGCAAGUCUGGAGAAGCAGGCAAGUUGGUGGUCAGGGCCACACACCCACACCCUCCUGGUGCCUCUGCUGCCGCGCCGGUGAGU